AAAGGGUGGGGGCGGGGGUAGGGGGAGCCAAUCCCGGCAGCGCCAAAGAGGGGAGGAGGCGGUGACAGCCGCGGGGAGGGGGCGGGAGGAGAGAGGCGUCUCGGCUCGGCUCCGCGCUCAGCUCCGCUCUGCCUCCGGCUCUGCGCUCACCUGCUGCCUAGUGUUCCCUCUCCCGCUCCAGGACCUCCGGGUAGACCUCAGACCCCGGGUCCAUUCCCAGACUCAGCCUCAGCCCGGACUUCCCCAGCCCCGACAGCACAGUAGGCCGCCAGGGGGCGCCGUGUGAGCGCCCUAUCCCGGCCACCCGGCGCCCCCUCCCACGGCCCGGGCGGGAGCGGGGCGCCGGGGGCCAUGCGGGGCCAGGGCCGCAAGGAGAGUUUGUCCGAUUCCCGAGACCUGGACGGCUCCUACGACCAGCUCACGGGCCACCCUCCAGGGCCCACUAAAAAAGCGCUGAAGCAGCGAUUCCUCAAGCUGCUGCCAUGCUGCGGGCCCCAAGCCCUGCCCUCAGUCAGUGAAAUUGGCCGGGUCUUCCGCUUUCUCGGUGACAGUUCGCUCCCUUCAGCAUUAGCCGCCCCAGCCUCCCUCCGCCCCCACAGACCCCGCCUGCUGGACCCAGACAGCGUGGACGAUGAAUUUGAAUUGUCCACCGUGUGUCACCGGCCUGAGGGUCUGGAGCAGCUGCAGGAGCAAACCAAAUUCACGCGCAAGGAGUUGCAGGUCCUGUACCGGGGCUUCAAGAACUCUUCCCUCCCAUCACAUGAGCCACGUGGAAUGUCCCAGCGGAAUUGUCAAUGAGGAGAACUUCAAGCAGAUUUACUCCCAGUUCUUUCCUCAAGGAGACUCCAGCACCUAUGCCACUUUUCUCUUCAAUGCCUUUGACACCAACCAUGAUGGCUCGGUCAGUUUUGAGGACUUUGUGGCUGGUUUGUCCGUGAUUCUUCGGGGAACUGUAGAUGACAGGCUUAAUUGGGCCUUCAACCUGUAUGACCUUAACAAGGACGGCUGCAUCACCAAGGAGGAAAUGCUUGACAUCAUGAAGUCCAUCUAUGACAUGAUGGGCAAGUACACGUACCCUGCACUCCGGGAGGAGGCCCCAAGGGAACACGUGGAGAGCUUCUUCCAGAAGAUGGACAGAAACAAGGAUGGUGUGGUGACCAUUGAGGAAUUCAUUGAGUCUUGUCAAAAGGAUGAGAACAUCAUGAGGUCCAUGCAGCUCUUUGACAAUGUCAUCUAGCCCCCAGGAGAGGGGGUCAGUGUUUCCUGGGGGGACCAUGCUCUAACCCUAGUCCAGGCAGACCUCACCCUUCUCUUCCCAGGUCUAUCCUCAUCCUAGGCCUCCCUGGGGGCUGGAGGGAUCCAAGAGCUUGGGGAUUCAGUAGUCCAGAUCUCUGGAGCUGAAGGGGCCAGAGAGUGGGCAGAGUGCAUCUCGGGGGGUGUUCCCAACUCCCACCAGCUCUCACCCCCUUCCUGCCUGACACCCAGUGUUGAGAGUGCCCCUCCUGUAGGAAUUGAGCGGUUCCCCACCUCCUACCCCUACUCUAGAAACACACUAGACAGAUGUCUCCUGCUAUGGUGCUUCCCCCAUCCCUGAUCUCAUAAACAUUUCCCCUAAGACUCCCCUCUCAGAGAGAAUGCUCCAUUCUUGGCACUGGCUGGCUUCUCAGACCAGCCAUUGAGAGCCCUGUGGGAGGGGGACAAGAAUGUAUUGGGAGAAAUCUUGGGCCUGAGUCAAUGGAUAGGUCCUAGGAGGUGGCUGGGGUUGAGAAUAGAAGGGCCUGGACAGAUUAUGAUUGCUCAGGCAUACCAGGUUAUAGCUCCAAGUUCCACAGGUCUGCUACCACAGGCCAUCAAAAUAUAAGUUUCCAGGCUUUGCAGAAGACCUUGUCUCCUUAGAAAUGCCCCAGAAAUUUUCCACACCCUCCUCGGUAUCCAUGGAGAGCCUGGGGCCAGAUAUCUGGCUCAUCUCUGGCAUUGCUUCCUCUCCUUCCUUCCUGCAUGUGUUGGUGGUGGUUGUGGUGGGGGAAUGUGGAUGGGGGAUGUCCUGGCUGAUGCCUGCCAAAAUUUCAUCCCACCCUCCUUGCUUAUCGUCCCUGUUUUGAGGGCUAUGACUUGAGUUUUUGUUUCCCAUGUUCUCUAUAGACUUGGGACCUUCCUGAACUUGGGGCCUAUCACUCCCCACAGUGGAUGCCUUAGAAGGGAGAGGGAAGGAGGGAGGCAGGCAUAGCAUCUGAACCCAGUGUGGGGGCAUUCACUAGAAUCUUCAAUCAACCUGGGCUCUCCCCACGCCCCCCAGAUAACCUCCUCAGUUCCCUAGGGUCUCUUCUUGCUUGACUCAAUCUACCCAGAGAUGCCCCUUAGCACACCUAGAGGGCAGGGACCAUAGGACCCAGGUUCCAACCCCAUUGUCAGCACCCCAGCCAUGCGGCCACCCCUUAGCACACCUGCUCGUCCCAUUCAGCUUACCCUCCCAGUCGGCCAGAAUCUGAGGGGAGGGCCCCCAGAGAGCCCCCUUCCCCAUCAGAAGACUGUUGACUGCUUUGCAUUUUGGGCUCUUCUAUAUAUUUUGUAAAAUAAGAAAUAUACCAGAUCUAAUAAAACACAAUGGCUAUGCA
rnacentral:sRNA from 1 species